ACAGAUCCAGAUUGCUGUGAUGCCAGCCUAAGGGAGUGAAAAACAGGUCCUUGGAUUUCUCCUCCACCCUCCGAUUGAACAAUGAUUCUGUGAGUAAAAGAUAUGUACGAUUAGCCUGGGGACUGACAGAUGUCUCGUAUGCAGGCACCAUGGGUGAACCAGAUCGAUCCAAUGACAGCAGGAGACUUCCCUGAAUCCUCCUGAACAGAGGCAAGGCGCGCUGACAAUGUGGAAGCCGAAGAGUCUGGGUGAAUCAAACUGCCAAGAGAGUUAUGUCAUGAUAAGCAUCAGCAUGUCAAGAUAACCACCACCAUAAGGCAGCAAUGAUACAGUUCCAGUUGCACAAAAAUCCAUAAUGCAAGUUGAGAGCAGCAAAAACUUAAGAAAGAUUCUUCAACUCCAGCCUCUUGAUGUUUAUAAGAAACUGGCUUCAUACUCUCCUUUUCAACUCUACCUUUAUCACACCACAAACCCCUUUUCCCAUUAACCUACCUCCAUUUGACUCAAUCUCUUUUCCCAACCCCAACCCCUCAACUCACUGCUACUCCCUACCCAUCCCCUUUCCACCCCAAAAAGGUUUGUUAACUUAGCUAUUUAACAGUAGUCAUCACUAUCAUAUAUGGAAAAUGUCAUCAAUCUUUGCUCUCAUUCUACCAUUAUCUUUAUUGCCCUAUGAUAAAGCCAUAUCUACACUACA